AUGAUUAUCGUCGUCGUACUUUUGAACGUACGGCACCGGUAUCGAACCAGUUUGGCCGACACUAUUUCUAGCUGUCCACCACUGUUCCUCAUCUUUCGAUAUUACGGACAAAAACGUAAAAAGAGAGAAGAAAAGACACGCUUGAAAACGCUAGGAUCUUAAUCAACUUUAACUAGCGCUUAAUGUGAGAAGAUUUUACAUUAACACAAGUGUUUACAAGAUCGAGCCGACAAACACCCAACGAAAAAUUGAGGAAUAUGUUUCACGACGGGAUUGACACUUCGAAACGAGCUACGACUCGCAGUGCACGGACCAAAGACAAUUUAUCCAGUGCUCCGGGAUCCAAUACACGUCGGUGACGAUAAUGAUCGCCCCGUUUUUGCGCGACGCGUUACAUCGCGUGAAUUGCACGGCCGCAAUUUCAAACGCCAUUACGCCAAUAAUACUGAAUGCGGGCACGACACACUUGCGGACGCCCGCGCUGAUGAAUCAAAACAUGGGAAUUCUCCCGCACGCACCUCGACUUGUCAUACUGAUCGAAGGUCGCAGCCAUUGUCGUGCCGAUCGGGGGGUGGGAGGGUCCAGGAGCGAGGCGACAGCUUCUUCCCUCGUCAAUUGUCAAUUAAUAUAUAUCACAGGGCACAUCCGACGGGGAGGGAAAGAGAGAGAGAGGGACUCGAUCGAGCUCCCGCAUAGUAAGAGGGGCCGCGAAACGCUCGCGCGAGCCACCGCCGCGCGGACGGAUCUGUCCCCCCUGAGGUCUGUGUCACGCGGAUCUCCGUCGGCCGAUGACCGGGAUACGCGACGCGACGUCCGUAUUUUUCCAAGCGGAAAACACCCUCAGGAAACACGGGCUACUCUUCACUUUCUCGACCCGAAGAACUAUCACUCCGCCGUCGGAUGUUGUUCCUCGCACGAUGCGGUUUUGUGAGAGCGGACCGUCGUCGACAUCUCCGAGACCGCGUGGGCGUUCUUCGCGGGUGUUUCAAUCGAACGAGCGGAGCUUCGGUUCUCUCUGCUUAGGUCCUCGUCACGGAACCGCCACGUGCUGCACGUCGGCACGUUCACUCGCCGCACGAAGCACCCGUAAAUCGAACGGCGACCCUUACAAAAA